rnacentral:rRNA from 1 species
GUGGGGAAUAUUGCACAAUGGGCGAAAGCCUGAUGCAGCAACGCCGCGUGAGGGACGACGGCCUUCGGGUUGUAAACCUCUUUUAGUAGGGAAGAAGCGAAAGUGACGGUACCUGCAGAAAAAGCACCGGCUAACUACGUGCCAGCAGCCGCGGUAAUACGUAGGGUGCAAGCGUUAUCCGGAAUUAUUGGGCGUAAAGAGCUCGUAGGCGGUCUGUCGCGUCUGCUGUGAAAACUGGAGGCUCAACCUCCAGCCUGCAGUGGGUGCGGGCAGACUAGAGUGCGGUAGGGGAGAUUGGAAUUCCUGGUGUAGCGGUGGAAUGCGCAGAUAUCAGGAGGAACACCGAUGGCGAAGGCAGAUCUCUGGGCCGUAACUGACGCUGAGGAGCGAAAGCGUGGGGAGCGAACAGGAUUAGAUACCCGUGUAGUCC